AUAAUAUAAGAUAUGCUCUCUUAGCUUUUAACUAAAAAAAGCUAAGAGACGUCUCUUAAAUAAGAGAUAUAAGAGAUGUCUCUUAGCUUUUUUAGUUAAAAGCUAAGAGACGGUAGCUUAUAUUAC
rfam:Brassica oleracea var. oleracea cultivar TO1000 chromosome C3, whole genome shotgun sequence